GUUAAGCGACUAAGCGUACACGGUGGAUGCCCUGGCAGUCAGAGGCGAUGAAGGACGUGCUAAUCUGCGAUAAGCGUCGGUAAGGUGAUAUGAACCGUUAUAACCGGCGAUUUCCGAAUGGGGAAACCCAGUGUGUUUCGACACACUAUCAUUAACUGAAUCCAUAGGUUAAUGAGGCGAACCGGGGGAACUGAAACAUCUAAGUACCCCGAGGAAAAGAAAUCAACCGAGAUUCCCCCAGUAGCGGCGAGCGAACGGGGAGCAGCCCAGAGCCUGAAUCAGUGUGUGUGUUAGUGGAAGCGUCUGGAAAGGCGCGCGAUACAGGGUGACAGCCCCGUACACAAAAAUGCACAUGCUGUGAGCUCGAUGAGUAGGGCGGGACACGUGGUAUCCUGUCUGAAUAUGGGGGGACCAUCCUCCAAGGCUAAAUACUCCUGACUGACCGAUAGUGAACCAGUACCGUGAGGGAAAGGCGAAAAGAACCCCGGCGAGGGGAGUGAAAAAGAACCUGAAACCGUGUACGUACAAGCAGUGGGAGCACGCUUAGGCGUGUGACUGCGUACCUUUUGUAUAAUGGGUCAGCGACUUAUAUUCUGUAGCAAGGUUAACCGAAUAGGGGAGCCGAAGGGAAACCGAGUCUUAACUGGGCGUUAAGUUGCAGGGUAUAGACCCGAAACCCGGUGAUCUAGCCAUGGGCAGGUUGAAGGUUGGGUAACACUAACUGGAGGACCGAACCGACUAAUGUUGAAAAAUUAGCGGAUGACUUGUGGCUGGGGGUGAAAGGCCAAUCAAACCGGGAGAUAGCUGGUUCUCCCCG
rnacentral:rRNA from 1 species